GCUUCUGUGGUCCAAUGGUUAGGAUUCCACCCUUCCAGUUGAUCCUCACGGGUCCUUUAGUAAGGUGGAGGUUCGUGUUCGAUUCACGGCAGUUGCA